GAUGAACGCUGGCGGCGUGCUUAACACAUGCAAGUCGAACGGACUUUCCUUAUUGGAUUCUUUCGGGAUGACGAUUUGGCAAGUUAGUGGCGGACGGGUGAGUAACGCGUGGGUAACCUGCCCAUUACUGGGGGACAACAGUUAGAAAUGACUGCUAAUACCGCAUAAGCGCACAGUUUCGCAUGAAACAGUGUGAAAAACUCCGGUGGUAAUGGAUGGACCCGCGUCUGAUUAGCUAGUUGGUGAGGUAACGGCCCACCAAGGCGACGAUCAGUAGCCGGCCUGAGAGGGUGAACGGCCACAUUGGGACUGAGACACGGCCCAAACUCC
rnacentral:rRNA from 1 species